GUCUACAGCCAUACCACCCUGAACACACCCAAUCUUGUCUGGUCUUGGAAGUUAAGUGGGGUCAGGCCUGGUUUGGAUGGGAGAAAUUAUAUAUA
rnacentral:rRNA from 1 species